CCUACGGGAGGCUGCAGUGGGGGAUAUUGCACAAUGGGGGAAACCCUGAUGCAGCAACGCCGCGUGUGGGAAGAAGGUUUUCGGAUUGUAAACCACUGUUCUUGGUGAAGAUAAUGACGGUAACCAAGGAGAAAGCUCCGGCUAACUACGUGCCAGCAGCCGCGGUAAUACGUAGGGAGCAAGCGUUGUCCGGAUUUAUUGGGUUUAAAGGGUGCGCAGGCGGAAUGUCAAGUCAGCGGUCAAAUUGCGGGGCUCAACCCCGUACUGCCGUUGAAACUGCAUCCCUUGAGUGCGCGAGAAGUAUGCGGAAUGCGUGGUGUAGCGGUGAAAUGCAUAGAUAUCACGCAGAACUCCGAUUGCGAAGGCAGCAUACCGGCGCGCAACUGACGCUCAUGCACGAAAGCGUGGGUAUCGAACAGGAUUAGAUACCCCAGUAGUC
rnacentral:rRNA from 1 species